UACGUAGGUCCCGAGCGUUGUCCGGAUUUAUUGGGCGUAAAGCGAGCGCAGGUGGUUUAAUAAGUCUGAUGUAAAAGGCAGUGGCUCAACCAAUGUGUGCAUUGGAAACUGUUAGACUUGAGUGCAGUAGAGGAGAGUGGAAUUCCAUGUGUAGCGGUGAAAUGCGUAGAUAUAUGGAGGAACACCGGUGGCGAAAGCGGCUCUCUGGCCUGUAACUGACACUGAGGCUCGAAAGCGUGGGUAGCAAACAGG
rnacentral:rRNA from 1 species